GGUCAGAUUGUGUUUCCCUAAACACAUCUUCCAACGAUGCAGCUCAUCCGCAUACCUGAGAAAAGCCAACACUAUUAGAGGAAGUCUGUGUGGCUGGAUCUGGCUGAACUGUACCUGCAUGGACACUUGCCAUGGCCAGGAGUGAGGAUUGGCCGGUUCUCCAUUCACUAUGCGAGUGUUGACAGCAGGAGGAAACGUGGGCUUCCCGCAUCUUUCAGGCCAGUCUGUGAAAGAAGAAGAGUUCAGCGUUCAGAGUCAUGUCUUACCCAGUGACUGCAGACUAUCAGAGAUGGUGAGUUUAUCUUUGCCGCAUUGACCCGCUUCACCCACGAUGGCCAAAUCGGUGAUGCGCAGUUUGACAAGAAAGCCUUCAUCCACUGUGAUGUCCCAAGAGCAGCUCAAGUUUGCAGGAUAAGCCUGAGGAUACUUCUCUGAGUUUAUCUGACCUUUACGUCCAAACAGCUUCCCAGGGGAGCCGCAGCCCGAGUCUGAACACAGAGAGAGAGAGAGUUAUUGUCACAAAGAGAAAUUCAUCAUGCUUAAAUAUCAUCUGGCUUCACGUAGGGUAGAAAAGCAUGUUAUGCUCGAUGAUGCCGCUGCAAAUUGGGCUUGUUAACAAAGCAGAUCUGAUUGAUUUUCUUCAAGUGCUGCACUAAAAUGAUGUUGUCUGUUAUUUUGAGUGGGAUUUGAGUUACUGCAAUACAGCAACUCCAAGAGAAUUGAAAUAGCGCACACACACAAGAUCUGAUUUAAUGUCCUUUUCUUACAGAGAAAAUCAAUUAAAUGAAGAGAAUACAGAUAGUUUUGCUCAAGUCUCUAACUGGCGAGGAGGCACAGGACAUCAACAUGACGUCCGAUUGACUUUGUACCCCAACGUCAUGGGGACGUUGCAUUUUGUUUGGAAAUGAAAAUCAGGUUGACAUCAUGAUUUUCCUGACCAACGUCAGGCUGACUUCAAUGUCCAACGUCCAUCCUAAAAUCAACUAAAUAUCAACUUUUAAUGAUGUUACAGUUGACAUUGUGUGAACGUUACCACUCUGACGUCUAUCUGACGUUGGAUAUUGGUUGCCAUACCUGACGAAUAAAUGUCAGUAUUUGAAGUCAAUAUGACGUUGGUUUUAGAUGUUGGCUCGACGUUGAUUUUAGUCACUUAGCAACGCAACCUAAAAUCAACGUCUAAUGAUGUUACAGCUAGACGUUGUGUGGACGUUAACAUUAUGACGUCUAUCAGAUGUUUGACUUUGGCUGCCAUACCUGACGAGUACAUGUCAGUAUUUGACGUCAAUAUGGCGUUGGAUUUAAAUGUUGGCUUGACGUUGGAUUUUGGUCACUUAGCUAAGCAACCUAAAAACAACCAAAUAUCAACAUCUAAUGAUGUUACAGCUUGACGUUGUAUGGACAUUACCACUAUGACGUCUAUCAGACACUGGAUUUUGGUUGUCAUACCUGAUGAAUAAAUGUCAGUAUUUGACGUCAAUAUGACGUUGGUUUUAGAUGUUGGCUUGACGUUGGAUUUUAGUCACUUAGCAACGCAACCUAAAAACAACCAAAUAUUAGCAUCUAAUGAAUGAUGUUACAGCUUGACGUUGUGUGAACAUUACCAAUAUGACAUCUAUCAGACAUGGAUUUUGGUUGCUCUAACUGAUGAAUAAAUGUCAGUAUUUGACAUCAAUAUGACGUUGGUUUAAGAUGUUGGCCCGAUGUGGAUUUUGGUUACUUACCAACACAACCUAAUAUCAACCAAAUAUCAACAUCUAAUGAUGUUACAGCUUGACAUUCUGUGGACGUUACCACUAUGACGUCUAUCAAAUGUUGGAUUUUGGUUGCCAUACCUGACGGAUAAAUGUCAAUAUUUGACGUCAAUAUGAAAAUGAUUUAAGAUGUUGACUCGUCAUUGGCUUUUAGUCACUUUCCAACACAACCUAAUAUCAACCUAAUAUCAACCAAAUAUCAACGUCCUUUCACGUUGCUAUUGUAUGUCCUAAUAAUAUUGUCCUUAGACAUCAGCUAGACAUUAAAUUUUGGUCACCUAACAUCAUGACCUACAUCUAACCUAAUGUUAACGUCUUAUUGUGUUGUGUGCCUGCCGGGUGCCCACAUAUUUGUCAUUUUUUUUUUUUUUUAAGUAGGAACUUUUUUCUUACCCUAUUAAUCAAAUUAAUUGAGAGACAAAAAAAUUGACCACUUGGAAAUUCUCAGUUUCUUAUAAGUUACAACAUGCAAUACUGUAUGUGUUUGAGUAAAACAUAAUUUUUGUUUUUUGUUCUGCACAUUA